AACAUAACUUCCGGUGCAUAACGAACACGUGACUAGAGAUCCCACUAUAGAUAGGCUCUUCUGCUCCCAUAGUUAGCGCUGUAACUGUAUCAGGAGCCGGGCAUUUUCAUGUGUAGUCUCUGGGCUCCUAGUCCGGGGUGUCACGUAUAUAAGGAGUUGUGGGCACAUGGCGGAGGCUUCUCCAGAGCAGACAGUCACAUUCAGUCUUUUACUUUUUCCAGCACUUAAAAAAGUGAAAGAAGACGUGACUGGUGGAUAUGGGGGCUAUGGGGCAACGUACAAAAGCCCUACAGAGCAGUGUUCCAAACUGUGGACCUCCUGCUCUUGCAAAACUACAAAUCCCAGCAUGCCCACCCCCCAGUCAGAUCCAGCUGUUGCAAAACUACAAAUCCCAGCAUGCAACCCCCCCAACCAGUCAGAUUCACAGACUGGGGAGGGGCGUUACCCAGCAGGCAUUACAUAAUCUGAAACCAUAGAGGGGAGAAUUUCCUCCUGCGCUCUGCUACACGAGCUAUGAUUGGCUAAGGCUGCUGUCAUGUUUUUGAGAGACAUGUUGCAUUUAGGAAGCCCCCAUGGUGCCAGAACAGCAAAAAAACACAUGGCACACUAUAUGGGAAGCUACACCCCUCAAGGAACCUAACACCUCACAGGUGUUUGGCCACUUCGUUAAAAUCGGAUGUAAAAUAAAAAUAAAAAAUGUUCCACUAAAAUGCUGGUGUUACCCAAUUUUAUCAUUUUUUACACGGGGUAAUGGGAGAAAUUGGGUUACAAAUUUUGGAGGGCUUUUUCUCCUGAGUAUGGAAAUACAUCCACAUGGGGUAACGUGCUGGGCGGGUGCACAACAAGGCUCAGAAGUCAUAGAGGUCUGUUUGCAUUUGAGGCCUAUGGCAUAUCAGUAGCUGAUGGGUAUAGAGGUAAAGAGGACAUUUUGAAUGCACAGGUGUUUUCCUUGUUUGGGAAAAUUGCACUUUUCAACCUAUGCUCUGCUUCAUCUUUCUGGGAACAGCUAACAUGUGACCCUGAAUUUUUGCCUGGAAAUACAACGGGGCUCAUUAGAGGGAACUCUCUUUGCAUUUGAGGCCUAUGUUUCUUAGUAACCUAUCAGUAGCUGACUGUUACAUACAUUCAGAGGAAAAUAAAAGAAAGGAACACCCACAUGUGAGCGUAUUACAGACACUCUCCCCCCCCCCCCCCUGGGGAAGGUGUAUAGGGGGGAAGUGGACAUUUGGAACAGAUGGGUGUUCCCUAAAUUCCACCUGGGUGUUCCACCUGGGCAACCUAUUAUUUUGGGGAUUGGGAGCAUGUGUGAAAAGGCGAGUACAUUUAUUGAUUUUUCCUUGCAGCCCUUGGUGACGAACAUACCAUCAUAUAUACGAGAUUCUAUGCAUCUAAUGCAGCAAAUUCAGGACAUGACCCUACCGGAAGGCACUCUACUUAACACUUGUGAUGUCGAGUCUCUAUAUUUGAACAUUGGACAUGAGGAUGGUAUACAUGCUGUGACACACUUCCUGGAACAACAGUGGACUUCCUGGACCUACAAUUAACAUUGACAAAUGGCCAUCUGAAGACUAACCUGUUCCGAAAAGCUACCGCCACGAAUAGCCUGUUACAUUAUUCUUCUUUUCACCCGAAGCAUAACUUGAAGGGGAUACCCACGGGCCAAUUUUUUAGAAUUAAGAGGAACUGCAGUGAACCAGCAGAUUAUAGGAAACAAGCCCUUGAUCUGACUAAAAGAUUUAGGGAUCGGGGGUAUCCCAAAAGAAUUGUAUCACGGACCUAUCAGAGAGCAAAUGACGUGGAGAGACAAGUGCUACUGAGAGGUGCUCAAAGAGAGCCAGCGGAAGAUGUCUUGAGAUUUAUUGCAACAUAUAAUAACCAAUGGAGGGACAUUGAGAGGAUCUUGAACGCUAAUUGGCUCAUUCUACUUUCGGAUGGCCAAAUAAAACCCAAAAUACCACAAAAGCCAUCCCUGGUGUCGCGGAGAGCCCCGAACCUGGGAGAUAUACUCACCAGGAGCCAUUUUCAAAGGUCUACUCAACGUAUUGGUAGGGGCUCGGGACACCAAGGAUCAUAUCCCUGCGGUGACUGUACGGUUUGCCAGCUUAUGAUACCUAAAACUCAUUUUGUCAACCCUAAGAAUGGAAAACAAUAUCGAUUAAAAGGAUAUGUCAACUGCAAGAACACCAAUGUAGUGUAUGCCAUUAUCUGCCCAUGUGGGAUGGUAUACGUCGGACAGACUAGCCAACAAUUGUGAAAGAGGAUACAGAAACAUAUUUCAACCAUUACUCUAGCCAAGAGGGACAAGGAAAGAAACAAAUUGCUAACCUCAGUUGUGAACCACUUCUUGGAACAUCAUAGAGGACAGCCAAAAGGUAUGCAGGUGGUCGGACUGGAAAGGGUUACAGUUGACUUGAGUGGAGGACCCAUCAAUAAUAGAAUUUUCCAAAAGGAGUCAAAAUGGAUAUAUGAACUGGAAACAGUAACUCCAUCAGGACUUAAUGAAGAAUUAUUGUUCACUGGCUUUCUAGGGAUCUUGCUUGGCAUCUAGAAUUAGUAUGCCACAAGAUCUCUCAAUGUCUCUUCUUUACACAGAUACUCUAUAAUGGUACUGAGGAACACGUACUCCAUCAGCAGCCUGCAGCAUCACUUUAGAGUAUCUGUGUUACCCCCCAUUGGGAUCAAGUAUGACGGUUUUGAGAACAGAUGAGGAUUACUGCAUGAAUAGACGUAGAGGACACCAGGAGAACCUUGGAUACACCAUAGGGGGAUAUCUCUCUGAAAAGAAGAACAGGCCUGAGAUGAGUUAGGAGAGGGAAUAUUUGAUAGAAAGAAGAAGCGAAGAACCGGCCUGAGAGAAGUCAUGAGAGGGAAUAUGUGAUGAAUUGGAAAUGCGGCCUACACUAUUUUAGGUGGACCACUAAUUCUCCAUGACCUUUACAGGAGGACUACUAUUACUACUUCACCAUACUGGUAUAUAUCCUCUGGACCUUUUUUUUAAUUUUUUUAAUUGUAUUUUUUGGGGGGAGCAGAGGAUUGGAUUUGUCAGGUGUAUUAUAUGUAUAUUAUAUGUCUUCACAAAUACUCAUCAUCUACAUGAUUGGAUUAGCUUAUGAUUGGAUAUAUUAAUUAUAACAGAUUACCUAGGUAUGAUUGCUUAUUUAUUAUUGUUGCAUAGAUUCUUUUGCUAUAUCUCUUGUCUGGAUGCUGAAUAGGGUGCGCGCGGUUUGCCAUGUAAAGUGCUUGUUGGGACUUAUAUAUAUUAUGGUAACUAUGGGGUUAUGGGGGGACUAUAUAGUUUUCUUGUGAAGUGGUAGCUAUGCUCCUAAUGAUUGGAUAUCCAACAAUCCAUGGUCUCACACAUAAUUAUAGAUGAAGUUGGGUUAUAUAUUAUAAUAUAAUAGGGGAUGGGAUACACUUCACCUUGAUAUUUAUCUAAUAUUUAUAGAUGCUAUUCACUACUAGCUAUGUAUUAUUUACUAUUAUUGAUAUGAAUGUUAUGAU